rnacentral:misc_RNA from 1 species
GAAAUGCGAUAAGUAAUGUGAAUUGCAGAAUUCAGUGAAUCAUCGAAUCUUUGAACGCACAUUGCGCCCGCUAGUAUUCUAGCGGGCAUGCCUGUCCGAGCGUCAUUUCAACCUAUUAGGCCGACGUGCCUGUGUUGGGGAGCUGCGCGCGCUGCUGCGCAGGCCCUGAAACCCAGUGGCGGGCUCGUGGGCACACCGAGCGUAGUAGCGUCUGUUCUCGCUCAGGGCGUGCCUCGGGUUCUGGCCGUGAAGACACUCCACAUCGAAACUCAAGGUUGACCUCGGAUCAGGUAGGAGUACCCGCUGAACUUAA